AGUGCAUCAUGUGGAUAUACCAUUGUUACACCACCUUGUGUGAGAAACAGUUCAUGAAGCCUUUCUCCAGGUGGGCUCACCCAGUUUCUCAGGUGAAAAGCCCUGGGAUUCACUAAUGAACUCUGGCCUUUCAAUAUGGAACUACAGUCUCUAACUUGCAAGGAAUUAGUGACUUGCUCUCAGUUCACACUCUAUAGGAUAAAGCUUGUCUUUAACAGUCUGUUUCCUGGGAAUUUUGUUUAAAAGAUGUACUUACUUAUUUAUUUGAAAGGUGGAAAGAGAGAGAGAGAGAGAGAGAUCUUCCAUCCACUGGUUCACUCCCCAAAUGGUUGCAACGGCUGGGGCUGGGCUUAUUUGAAGCCAAGAGCUUCUUCCAGGGCUCCCACGUGGAUGCAGGGACUCAAGCACUUGUGCCAUCUUCUACUGCUUUCCCAGGCACAUUAGCAGGGAGCUGGAGUGGAAGUGGAGCAUCUGGAUCUCAAACUGGCACCCAUAAGGGAUGCUGGUGUUGCAGGCAGAGGUUUAACCUUCUACACCACAGUGCCAGCCCCUUUUUUUCUGGGAAAUUAUGGAUAAGUGUUUUUUUGUUUGUUUUUUCAAAGCAAGCAGGGAGACCUGAGUAGUGAGCCUACUGAGCCGUUUGGAUUCCAGGUGUUUCCACACUUGUGUGUGCUUGCCCACCAGCAGCCUGAUUCCGGAUGCAUUCUUCUCCUAUUAAUUGAUGCGAUGACUUAAGAUAGGUUGUAUUAUUUUAAAUUACUUAAAUGUGCAAAGAUAUUCAGAAUUUUAUUUUAUUUUUUUGUUUGAGAUGUAGAAAGACAGAGACAGAGAAGAGCUCACAUAAUCUCCUCAAAUGCUUCCAACAUCCAAGAAUGUGUUAUACUGAAGACAGAAGCUUGGAACUCCAUCCAGGUCUCCCACAUGGGUGGCAGGUAUCCAAAUACUUGAACUGUCACCACUGCCUCCCAGAAUGCACAUUAACAGGAAGCUGGAGCCAGGAACCAGAGGAGAGCAUCAAAUCAGAUCUUUUAGCAGAUAUAUGGAUCUUCUUAUGGUCAAGAAGCAGGCGAGAGCCAUUUUGUUCUCCAACCAAGUUAACUCUUAAGGACCUCAGAUUGUGAAAUCCAGCACGCAUCUCUCUUGACAAACACAGCUAGUGGAUUUUUUUAAAAAAAUAUUGUGCCAAAAAAAAUUUUAGGCUUGCAAGAAAAUAAAAGAAGUCAACCCACGAUCA
ensembl:lncRNA